UCAAGAGAACGUGAAAUCGCUGGAGUGGAACCGGAGAGAGUUGACGUAGCCGGGUAACUAAGUCUACCGAUGUCGCUUAACUGUGACCUAGGUGAACGUAUGUUGCCUAUGGCUGCGCUGACAGCGUUGGCUGUGCGUUCCGAACCGUUUACGUUGCCCACCGUUCGCGGUGGUGUCUUGUUUACGGGUAGGUUUGUCGCGGCUAACGUUUUAUCCUGCUUGCAGGGUGUCAGUGUGAAACUCGACCACCNCUCCGA
rnacentral:rRNA from 1 species